UACGUAGGGUGCAAGCGUUGUCCGGAAUUAUUGGGCGUAAAGAGCUCGUAGGCGGUUUGUUGCGUCGGCUGUGAAAUCCCGAGGCUCAACCUCGGGUCUGCAGUCGAUACGAGCAAACUAGAGUGUUGCAGGGGAGACUGGAAUUCCUGGUGUAGCGGUGAAAUGCGCAGAUAUCAGGAGGAACACCGAUGGCGAAGGCAGCUCGCUGGGACGGUACUGACGCUGAGGCGCGAAAGCGUGGGGGAGCAAACAGG
rnacentral:rRNA from 1 species